rnacentral:rRNA from 1 species
CCUACGGGAGGCAGCAGUGGGGAAUCUUGCGCAAUGGGCGAAAGCCUGACGCAGCAACGCCGCGUGCGGGAAGAAGGCCUUCGGGUUGUAAACCGCUUUCAGCAGGAACGAAAAUGACGGUACCUGCAGAAGAAGGUGCGGCCAACUAUGUGCCAGCAGCCGCGGUGAUACAUAGGCACCAAGCGUUGUCCGGAUUUAUUGGGCGUAAAGAGCUCGUAGGCGGUUCAGUCAGUCGGGUGUGAAAACUCUGGGCUUAACCCAGAGCCUGCACCCGAUACUGCUGUGACUAGAGUUCGGUAGGGGAGCGGGGAAUUCCUGGUGUAGCGGUGAAAUGCGCAGAUAUCAGGAGGAACACCGAUGGCGAAGGCACCGCUCUGGGCCGAAACUGACGCUGAGGAGCGAAAGCAUGGGUAGCAAACAGGAUUAGAUACCCUGGUAGUCCAUGCCGUAAACGUUGGGCACUAGGUGUGGGUUCCAAUCAACGGAAUCCGCGCCGUCGCUAACGCAUUAAGUGCCCCGCCUGGGGGAGGUACGGUCGCGAGAACUAAACUACAAAGAAGUAGACGGCGUGAGACGUGCCGACGGACGACGACGAGGGAGGAGG